CAGUAGCCGCGGGAACACGUAGGGGGCAAGCGUUAUCCGGAAUUAUUGGGCGUAAAGAGUGCGUAGGUGGUCUACUAAGCGCGAGGUGAAAGGCAAUGGCUCAACCAUUGUUAGCCUUGCGAACUGGCAGACUUGAGUGCAAGAGAGGAAAGCGGAAUUCCUAGUGUAGCGGUGAAAUGCGCAGAUAUUAGGAGGAACACCGGCGGCGAAGGCGGCUUUCUGGAUUGUAACUGACACUGAGGCACGAAAGCGUGGGUAGCAAACAGGAUUAGAUACCCCAGUAGUCCCUGUCUCUUAUACC
rnacentral:rRNA from 1 species